UACGGAGGGAGCUAGCGUUAUUCGGAAUUACUGGGCGUAAAGCGCACGUAGGCGGCUUUGUAAGUAAGAGGUUAAAGCCCAGAGCUCAACUCUGGAAUUGCCUUUUAGACUGCAUCGCUUGAAUCAUGGAGAGGUCAGUGGAAUUCCGAGUGUAGAGGUGAAAUUCGUAGAUAUUCGGAAGAACACCAGUGGCGAAGGCGGCUGACUGGACAUGUAUUGACGCUGAGGUGCGAAAGCGUGGGGAGCAAACAGG
rnacentral:rRNA from 1 species